rnacentral:rRNA from 1 species
GAUGAACGCUAGCUACAGGCUUAACACAUGCAAGUCGAGGGGCAGCGGGAUUGAAGCUUGCUUCAAUUGCCGGCGACCGGCGCACGGGUGAGUAACGCGUAUCCAACCUUCCGCUUACUCGGGGAUAGCCUUUCGAAAGAAAGAUUAAUACCCGAUGGUAUCUUAAGCACGCAUGAGAUUAAGAUUAAAGAUUUAUCGGUGUACGAUGGGGAUGCGUUCCAUUAGGUAGUAGGCGGGGUAACGGCCCACCUAGCCAACGAUGGAUAGGGGUUCUGAGAGGAAGGUCCCCCACAUUGGAACUGAGACACGGUCCAA